UACGAAGGGGGCUAGCGUUGUUCGGAAUUACUGGGCGUAAAGGGCGCGUAGGCGGUGUGUCAAGUCAGGCGUGAAAGCCCCGGGCUCAACCUGGGAACCGCGCUUGAGACUGGCACGCUAGAGUUCGGGAGAGGAUGGUGGAAUUCCCAGUGUAGAGGUGAAAUGCGUAGAUAUCGGGAGGAACACCUGUGGCGAAAGCGGCUCACUGGACCAUUACUGACGCUGAUGCUCGAAAGCUAGGGGAGCAAACAGG
rnacentral:rRNA from 1 species